rfam:Salmo salar isolate Sally breed double haploid chromosome ssa19, whole genome shotgun sequence.
AUCAGUUGAAUUUGUUAGUCGCUCUGGAUAAGAGCGUCUGCUAAAUGACGUAAA